rnacentral:rRNA from 1 species
CAGUACUACAGCUGGGUAGCUAUGUGCGGAAGGGAUAAACGCUGAAAGCAUCUAAGCGUGAAGCCCCCCUUAAGAUGAGAUUUCCCAAUUAGUAAGACCCCUCAAAGACUAUGAGGUUGAUAGGCCAGGUGUGUAAGUACAGCGAUGUAUUCAGCUUACUGGUACUAAUAGGUCGAGGACUUAACCUUU